UACGAAGGGGGCUAGCGUUGUUCGGAAUCACUGGGCGUAAAGGGCGCGUAGGCGGCUUUAUAAGUCGGGGGUGAAAGCCUGUGGCUCAACCACAGAAUUGCCUUCGAUACUGUAGAGCUUGAGACCGGAAGAGGUAAGUGGAACUGCGAGUGUAGAGGUGAAAUUCGUAGAUAUUGGGAGGAACACCAGUGGCGAAGGCGGCUCACUGGACCGGAAGUGACGCUGAGGCGCGAAAGCGUGGGGAGCAAACAGG
rnacentral:rRNA from 1 species